rnacentral:rRNA from 1 species
UACGGGAGGCAGCAGUGGGGAAUAUUGCACAAUGGGCGCAAGCCUGAUGCAGCCAUGCCGCGUGUAUGAAGAAGGCCUUCGGGUUGUAAAGUACUUUCAGUCGUGAGGAAGGUGUUAAGGUUAAUAACCUUAGCAAUUGACGUUAGCGACAGAAGAAGCACCGGCUAACUCCGUGCCAGCAGCCGCGGUAAUACGGAGGGUGCGAGCGUUAAUCGGAAUUACUGGGCGUAAAGGGCACGCAGGCGGUUAAUUAAGUUGGAUGUGAAAUCCCCGGGCUUAACCUGGGAAUGGCAUUCAAGACUGGUUAGCUAGAGUCUUGUAGAGGGGGUAGAAUUCCAUGUGUAGCGGUGAAAUGCGUAGAGAUGUGGAGGAAUACCGGUGGCGAAAGGCGGCCCCUGGGACAAAGGACUGACGCUCAUGUGCGAAAAGCGUGGGGAGCAAACAGGGAUUAGAUACC